UACGGGGGGGGUAAGCGUUGUUCGGAAUUACUGGGCGUAAAGGGCUCGUAGGCGGCCAACUAAGUCAGACGUGAAAUCCCUCAGCUUAACUGGGGAACUGCGUCUGAUACUGGAUGGCUUGGAUUCGGGAGAGGAAUGCGGAAUUCCAGGUGUGGCGGUGAAAUGCGUAGAUAUCUGGAGGAACACCGGUGGCGAAGGCGGCAUUCUGGACCGAUAUUGACGCUGAGGAGCGAAAGCCAGGGGAGCAAACGGG
rnacentral:rRNA from 1 species